rnacentral:rRNA from 1 species
AAAGACGGUUUCGGCUGUCACUUACAGAUGGACCCGCGGCGCAUAGCUAGUUGGUGAGGUAACGGCUCACCAAGGCGACGAUGCGUAGCCGACCUGAGAGGGUGAUCGGCCACACUGGGAGUGAGACACGGCCCAGACUCCUACGGGAGGCAGCAGUAGGGAAUCUUCCGCAAUGGACGAAAGUCUGACGGAGCAACGCCGCGUGAGUGAUGAAGGUUUUCGGAUCGUAAAGCUCUGUUGUUAGGGAAGAACAAGUGCAAGAGUAACUGCUUGCACCUUGACGGUACCUAACCAGAAAGCCACGGCUAACUACGUGCCAGCAGCCGCGGUAAUACGUAGGUGGCAGCGUUGUCCGGAAUUAUUGGGCGUAAAGGGCUCGCAGGCGGUUUCUUAAGUCUGAUGUGAAAGCCCCCGGCUCAACCGGGGAGGGUCAUUGGAAACUGGGAAACUUGAGUGCAGAAGAGGAGAGUGGAAUUCCACGUGUAGCGGUGAAAUGCGUAGAGAUGUGGAGGAACACCAGUGGCGAAGGCGACUCUCUGGUCUGUAACUGACGCUGAGGAGCGAAAGCGUGGGGAGCGAACAGGAUUAGAUACCCUGGUAGUCCACGCCGUAAACGAUGAGUGCUAAGUGUUAGGGGGUUUCCGCCCCUUAGUGCUGCAGCUAACGCAUUAAGCACUCCGCCUGGGGAGUACGGUCGCAAGACUGAAACUCAAAGGAAUUGACGGGGGCCCGCACAAGCGGUGGAGCAUGUGGUUUAAUUCGAAGCAACGCGAAGAACCUUACCAGGUCUUGACAUCCUCUGACAACCCUAGAGAUAGGGCUUUCCCUUCGGGGACAGAGUGACAG